GGCGACCGGCGCACGGGUGCGGAACGCGUAUGGAACCUGCCCCUGUCAGGGGAAUAGCCCAGGGAAACUUGGAUUAAUGCCCCAUGGUACCGCGAUAUCGCAUGAUAUUGCGGUUAAAGAUUUAUCGGACAGGGAUGGCCAUGCGUACCAUUAGUUAGUUGGUGGGGUAACGGCCCACCAAGGCAGCGAUGGUUAGGGGCCCUGAGAGGGGGAUCCCCCACACUGGUACUGAGACACGGACCAGACUCCUACGGGAGGCAGCAGUGAGGAAUAUUGGACAAUGGGCGGGAGCCUGAUCCAGCCAUGCCGCGUGCAGGAUGACGGCCCUAUGGGUUGUAAACUGCUUUUAUACGGGAAGAAAUGCGCCCACGUGUGGGCGUCUGACGGUACCGUAAGAAUAAGGACCGGCUAACUCCGUGCCAGCAGCCGCGGUAAUACGGAGGGUCCGAGCGUUAUCCGGAAUCAUUGGGUUUAAAGGGUCCGUAGGCGGGCCUGUAAGUCAGGGGUGAAAGUUUGUGGCUCAACCAUAAAAUUGCCUUUGAUACUGCAGGUCUUGAGUCAUGGUGGGGUCGCCGGAACAUGUGGUGUAGCGGUGAAAUGCAUAGAUAUCACAUAGAACACCGAUCGCGAAGGCAGGUGGCCAACCAUGUACUGACGCUGAUGGACG
rnacentral:rRNA from 1 species